UACGUAGGGUGCAAGCGUUGUCCGGAAUUAUUGGGCUUAAAGAGCUCGUAGGCGGUCUGUCGCGUCGGCUGUGAAAACCCGGAGCUCAACUCCGGGCCUGCAGUCGAUACGGGCAGACUGGAGUUCGGCAGGGGAGACUGGAAUUCCUGGUGUAGCGGUGAAAUGCGCAGAUAUCAGGAGGAACACCGGUGGCGAAGGCGGGUCUCUGGGCCGAUACUGACGCUGAGGAGCGAAAGCGUGGGGAGCGAACCGG
rnacentral:rRNA from 1 species